rnacentral:rRNA from 1 species
GACGAACGCUGGCGGCGUGGAUUAGGCAUGCAAGUCGAACGGUAUCAUCCUUUCGGGGGUGAGAGAGUGGCGAACUGGUGAGUAACACGUAGGUUAUCUACCCUCAAGACGGGGACAACCCAGGGAAACUUGGGCUAAUACCGGAUGUGAGCAACUUUUAGUUGUUUGAAAGGUGGCGUAAGCUGUCGCUUGGGGAUGAGCCUGCGUCCUAUUAGUUAGUUGGUGAGGUAACGGCUCACCUAGGCAAUGAUAGGUAGGCGGCCUUAACGGGUGGCCGCCCACACUGGGAUUGAGAUACGGCCCAGACUCCUACGGGAGGCAGCAGUCGAGAAUAGUCUACAAUGGUCGGAAGACUGAUAGUGCGACGCCGCGUGAACGAUGAAUCCCUUCGGGGUGUAAAGUUCUUUUAUAUGUGAGCAGUGCUUCUUAUAUUAACAGUAUGGGGAGAGAGAUAUUAGCAUAUGAAUAAGCAACGGCUAACUCCGUGCCAGCAGCCGCGGUAAA